GACGAACGCUGGCGGCGUGCUUAACACAUGCAAGUCGAACGGAAAGGCCCUGCUUUUGGGGGGUGCUCGAGUGGCGAACGGGUGAGUAACACGUGAGUAACCUGCCCUUGACUUUGGGAUAACUUCAGGAAACUGGGGCUAAUACCGGAUAGGAGCUCCUGCGGCAUGGUGGGGGUGGGAAAGUUUCGGCGGUUGGGGAUGGACUCGCGGCUUAUCAGCUUGUUGGUGGGGUAGUGGCUUACCAAGGCUUUGACGGGUAGCCGGCCUGAGAGGGUGACCGGCCACAUUGGGACUGAGAUACGGCCCAGACUCCUACGGGAGGCAGCAGUGGGGAAUAUUGCACAAUGGGCGGAAGCCUGAUGCAGCAACGCCGCGUGCGGGAUGACGGCCUUCGGGUUGUAAACCGCUUUCGCCUGUGACGAAGCGUGAGUGACGGUAAUGGGUAAAGAAGCACCGGCUAACUACGUG
rnacentral:rRNA from 1 species